rnacentral:snRNA from 1 species
CGUGAACUUCUUAGAUGGCCAUU